AGCCUGGAGUCGAUCCUUCAGUGGUCAAGCAGCAGCAAGAGUCUGUGGAGGGCUUUAGAGAAGAGAUCGACGGGCUGCAGGAAGAACUGAAUGUGGUCCAGAAUCUGGGGGCGGAGCUUAUGACAGCGUGCGGAGAACCUGAUAAACCAGUGAUCAAGAAAAGUAUAGAUGAGGUGAACUCAGCUUGGGAAAUCCUGAAUAAGGCAUGGAAAGAGAGAGUAGAGACUCUAGAGGAAGCCAUGCAAGCUGCAGUGCAGUUCCAGGACAGUCUCCAGGUAAAUAU